rnacentral:misc_RNA from 1 species
GAACGCACAUUGCGCCCCUUGGUAUUCCGGGGGGCAUGCCUCUUCCAGCGUCAUUUCACCCCUCAAGCUCUGCUUGGUUUUGGGCCGCGCCGGCAACGGCGGGCCUCGAAAAUAGUGGCGACGCCAUCGUGCUCUCAGCGUAGUAAUUCUUCUCGCUGUUGGGUCCCGGUGGUCGUCCGCCAGCAACCCCCAACUUUCUUAAGUUUGACCUGGGAUGAGGUAGGGAUACCCGCUGAACUUAAG